CGUGAGAUGUUGGGUUAAGUCCCGCAACGAGCGCAACCCUUGUCUUUAGUUGCCAUCAUUAAGUUGGGCACUCUAGCGAGACUGCCAGGGAUAACCUGGAGGAAGGUGGGGAUGACGUCAAAUCAUCAUGCCCCUUAUGCUUAGGGCUACACACGUGCUACAAUGGGUAGUACAGAGGGUUGCCAAGCCGUAAGGUGGAGCUAA
rnacentral:rRNA from 1 species